AUUGUAAUCUUUAAUACUCAACAAGUAUUUGGAGGCUUUGUAUAUGUAGCACACUGGUCUAAUUACUGUAUGUAGAUAUAUAAGUACAUUAUUUUAAAAUCUUAAAUUUAAUGUUUAAUUCUAUGUGAACUUAAUAUUUUUUUAAGUGGGAGAUAAAGUAAAUAUGGCUUUUUUAUAGUCAUUCAUUGAAGUUAUUCAACACUUACAAGUGCCUGAAAACUGGGUUAGAAACUUUAGGAUACAUUACUUCAGCAUUCUUUUUUGAAAAUUUUAGAAAAUAUUAAUUUGGAUAAGAAUUUAGUAUCAGAGUACC
rnacentral:lncRNA from 1 species